CGAACCAGAGCAUUCAUAGCCCCAGCCUUCUUAUGGUGCUCAAAACCUGGUCUCUUCUCACGAGAAACAUAAACCAAACGUGGUAACUCAUUCCCUUCCACAUCACGGACACCACUGUUACCAAGGAAGACCUGAAUCAUGCCAGGAUGAUCUCGUACGUUGUUUCCAGGCCAUGCAGUUCCAUCCUGCAUUGUCCAACCAUCUUCUGGAACUUUUUGUGCAGUGGCAACCAAUCCAUUGAUCCGAACUUUGAAUUCUUCAUAUUCUCUCUUCAUUGCACGCCUCUCCCUCACAAAAGAUGGGUGGACUUUAUUUUUCAAAUAGUCAAUCUUCUGAGAAAAAUACCACUCAGGUGCUCGGGGCUCAAUAUUAAAUUUCUUACAGAAAGGAACCCAUUUCCUUGCAAAUUCAGAUGUCUCAGAGAGUGCCUCAAAUGUCAGCAUGGCAGCACCAUCGUCUGACACAUAGCACGCAACCUUAUCCACAGGAUAAUCAACCGC
rnacentral:misc_RNA from 1 species